GAAUGCUGGCGGCAUGCUUUACACAUGCAAGUCGAACGGCAGCACGGGGGCAACCCUGGUGGCGAGUGGCGAACGGGUGAGUAAUAUAUCGGAACAUGUCCGGAAGUGGGGGAUAGCUCGGCGAAAGCCGGAUUAAUACCGCAUAUGCCCUGAGGGGGAAAGGAGGGGAUCCGCAAGGACCUUUCGCUUUCGGAGUGGCCGAUAUCGGAUUAGCUAGUUGGUGAGGUAAAGGCUCACCAAGGCGACGAUCCGUAGCUGGUCUGAGAGGACGACCAGCCACACUGGAACUGAGACACGGUCCAGACUCCUACGGGAGGCAGCAGUGGGGAAUUUUGGACAAUGGGGGCAACCCUGAUCCAGCCAUGCCGCGUGAGUGAAGAAGGCCUUCGGGUUGUAAAGCUCUUUCAGCCGGAAAGAAACGGUCACGGUGAAUAUCCGUGACUAAUGACGGUACCGGCAGAAGAAGCACCGGCUAACUACGUGCCAGCAGCCGCGGUAAUACGUAGGGUGCGAGCGUUAAUCGGAAUUACUGGGCGUAAAGCGUGCGCAGGCGGUUUUGUAAGACAGACGUGAAAUCCCCGGGCUUAACCUGGGAACUGCGUUUGUGACUGCAAGGCUAGAGUACGGCAGAGGGGGGUAGAAUUCCACGUGUAGCAGUGAAAUGCGUAGAUAUGUGGAGGAAUACCGAUGGCGAAGGCAGCCCCCUGGGUCGAUACUGACGCUCAUGCACGAAAG
rnacentral:rRNA from 1 species